AACCACUCAUGUACUAAUACCAAAGCACAAACAUAAGUGUAGCUUCAAGUAAGCAUAUCUAUCCAAAGGAGGUGUAGUGUUGUGCUGCUCUUAAUAUUGCAUCAAGCAUAGUAGUGCAACGGGACUAUUUGGUUCAACAUGGUUAUAGUAGCUGAAACUUAGCGGUUUAGUUAACCACUUUGAGCACUAACUGAAGUAGGGAGCAUAUCUAUAGUAGAUCAUCAGUUGAGGAGUAUAAUCCUAAUUAACCACACACAAAAGCAUCUAGCUACCCCCAAAUGAUUUACUGUGCAAGCAAGCACCACAUAAACCGUAGUAACAUGUCCAGCAAGGAUACAAAACACAGGAUAGGAGCAAUUCUUGUACAUAGAAAGUGAACAACCCUAGCAUGACAUACAUAACUUUGGGCUCGGUGGUGAGGAACAUACCUCAACAUUGCGGUUUUGUAGCCGAUGCUAUCAUCCACUGUCGUCACACGGUAAAGGUCACCUGAAGAAGCGCACGUUCCUUUGCAAACUCUGCUAUGGCAAAGCAAUAGUCAGUUAUGCAGGCAGGCGUGAGUAAGAAACCAAUUGACAAUGUGAUUAUUCAUAUAAAUUCAUUGACCAAAAUAACAAAUCUCAAAGAAGUUGGUCAUUAAUUAAUUUUUAAUAAGAAGUUGUAAAUUCAUUCAUUCUCUCCUUGAUCUAGAGGAAGGUUGAUUCAUUGGUAAAAUUUAGUAAGGAAAGAAAGUGUAUUCCUUCCAGUGGUAAGCAGCGUAUCCAUCCAUCCAUACGUACAUCUCCCUAGUUGCACAUGCAUAUAAACUGAACCCCCAAAAAAGAACUAAUUUGGCACGCACCAGAUGCUGAGACAAAGAAAAGAGGAAGAAGGAAUCAUCAACCAAUCGCCUGAUGCAUCCAUAUUUCUUGGGGAGGGCAUCCCAAACUGCACACACGCACACACGCAUCAGAUGCUCGGACCGGGAAGAAAAAAUGAAGCAACUAGACGGUAGGAGAGAGAGAGUGAGAGAGAGAGAGAGGAGAGGGGAGUGUACCUUCCAUGGCGUGAGCUCCUCUCCUCUCCUUAACCACUGGUGGUGAAGAAGAAGAAGCAAACCUAGAGCGAGCUUCCUUUCUUGUGGCAGCCCGGCUGCUGCAACUCCUGUCUACCUACCUAUCUACAGGAAGAGAUGAGACGGGGUCAGAGGGAGAACGAACAGGAGAAGGAGGAGGGACGCGAUUCCUACCAUACCACCGUCAGAGGAGAGAGGGGGCGAGUAGCAGAUCCACCGUCGGCACGUGCCUGUGCUCGGUCUCCAUGGCGUGGCGGAUCUGGCCAGCGCUGGCGUCCAUGACGAGGCCGUCCACCGGCGACCCUGGCGCUAGGGUUAGCCGGGGCUGCGCGGAGAGGAGCGACAAGUCGGAUCGACGCGGUGGAGAAGGAGCCGUGUCGCGAGAUUAAUCUCGCCCAUGGCCUACUGCUGCGCCGUCUUGCCCUGCUGCUGCUCCUCCCCGCUGCCGCCGCCGUCGUGCUCCUCGUCCUCCCUCCGCUGCUGCUCAUCGCGGUUUGAGGAGGUGGGUGGCGGCGGCGGCGAUGUGGGUGGGAGGAGAGGAGGCGCGUGGGAGGGAGGGAGGGAGGCGGCUGCGGGAGGGAGGGAGAGAGGAGGAGGCGGCUAGCACUAAUAGAAAAAUGGGCAAAUCUGAGACACAUUAGUGCCGGUUUGAUUUUGAGCCGGCACUAAUGUGUCCAUUAGUGCCGGUUCCAACGGCUAGCCGGCCGCUCUCAUUAGUACCGGUUCGUGGCGAACCUUUAGCACCGGUUCAUGCAACGAACCGGUACUAAAGAGAGUGGUGGCAGGAUGUUGUCAGUUUGGGGCCCGUCCAGCACCUUUAGUACCGGUUCGUGGCACGAACAGGUACUAAAGAUCGACGUACAUAAACCCUUCGUCCACCUAAGCCACUCUGUUCUUCCCCUUUCCCCUCACUUCCUCUAUUCUUCCCCUCUCUUCCUCGAGCUCCUCACAAACUUUGCCCAAAAUUUGUCAAGAUUUGAAGGCCCCCAUCCAUUCAAAUGAUCACAAAGGUUAGCAACUUUGUCCUUUCAACUCUCAUUGCUAGAUUAGCUCUUGCAAUGCUUUGUAUAGUGAUUAAUUUGGGAGGAAUUAUAUUUGCUAUUAUUUGAUUUAUAUGCAAUUUGAGGUCAAAAAUAACACUUAGUUUGCAUAUGUAGGUGUGGUUUACUUAGUGCCUUCUAAAUCUCCGUCAUAACCACCAUCGAUCGCCCGCACCGUCCCGUCGCCGGCACCACCUUGUGGUGAGGCUCUUGUUCAUGAAUGUUUUACAUUACCAAAUUGAUGUUUGUGUGAUUUGGAUAUAUAGUUACUCGUAUAAUUGUCUUACCCGUAUGUUGUUUGUUAUACAUAGUGCCAUGGUUUUGAUAUCCGUCCCUGUCGGCCCUCGUCCUUGUUAUGAUUCGGAUGUGGUAUAUUCUCUUUUAAAACUAGUUGUUGCAUUUUGUGUUUAUGACAAAUUAUGCCCAUCAAGUUGACAUAGAUAUUUUUAUCUAGGAGGUAUGUGAACCGGAAAUUCCAACCGACCCUAUUGUCGAGAGGUUAAAUUUAGUUGAAAGAGAAAAUGAGUAUUUGAAAGAAAAAUUAAAAAGAAUUGAGGGGGAGAAGAUGGAAUUGGAGUUGCAUGUUGCCGAUGUCGUCGAUGAUCACAAGAUCAAGAUGGAGAAAAUGAGGUUGAAGAUUAGAAAGAUUAGAAAAUAUGCCAUUGAUAGUGUGGCUUGGUAUCAUUAUGCUGUUGGAUCAAUUGUUACCUUAGUUGCGAUCUUGAUCGCAUUUAUUGUUGCAUUUAAAUUCUUUAGCUAGAGAGUUAUUUUUAUGUUGCAUUUAAUUAAGUGUUGUAUAUGAACUUUAUGUACGAACUUGUAUUAAUUUGGUCUAUUCGGUGUUUUGUAUAAUAAAGAUAUGAGCCGACAAUGGAUGUAGGAUGACCGAUGCUCUCUCGGGUUCAUUAAUGGCGUGCAUACUUUUCUGCUUGCCACUGAGGCAAACAAGCGGGCGGAUGGUUAUGCCUCGUCCAUGUGCUGGCUGUAAGAAUGGUCACAAUUACUCUACGUCAAGAACCAUUCACGUCCACCUAUCUGAGUCCAGUUUCAUGCCCCACUAUAAUGUUUGGACCAAGCACGGAGAAAGAGGGGUUAUGAUGGAAGACAAUGAAGAAGAAGAGGACGACGACAUCUAUCCUGGCCAUGGGUUCCCUGAAUACGAUGAUACAACAAUGGAGGAAGAAGCUGAGCCGGCAAUGCGGGAACAAGCUGAAGAAGAGGCAUCAGAUGAGCCCGCUGAUGAUCUAGGUCGGGCCAUUGCCGAUGCAAAGAGAAACUGCGCAAGUGAUUUGGAGAGGAAGAAGUUGCAGCGCAUGUUAGAGGAUCACAAGAAAUUGUUGUACCUGAAUUGCGAAGCUGACAAAAAAAAGUUAGGCACCACACUGGAAUUGCUGCAAUGGAAGGCAGAGAAUGGUGUAUCUGACAAGGGAUUUGGAAAGUUGCUGGUAAUGAUAAAGAAUAUGCUUCCAAAGGACAACGAAUUGCCCGAGAGUAGGUAUGAAGCAAAGAAGGCUGUCUGCCCUCUAGGGUUAGAGGUGCAGAAGAUACAUGCAUGCCCUAAUGAUAGCAUCCUCUACCGCGGUGCGUACGAGGAUUUGAACGCUUGCCCGGUAUGUGGUGCAUUGCAUUAUAAGAUCAGUCACGAUGACUGUCGGUGUCAAAACCGGCGGAUCUCGGGUAGGGGGUCCCGAACUGUACGUCUAGGUGGAUGGUAACAGGAGACAAGGGACACGAUGUUUUUACCCAGGUUCGGGCCCUCUCGAUGGAGGUAAAACCCUACUCCUGCUUGAUUAAUAUUGAUGAUAUGGGUAGUACAAGAGUGGAUCUACCAAGAGAUCAGAGAGGCUAAACCCUAGAAGCUAGCCUAUGGUAUGAUUGUUCUUCGUUCUACGGACUAAAACUCUCCGGUUUAUAUAGACACCGGAGAGGGCUAGGGUUACACAGAGUCGGUUACAAUGGGAGGAGAUCUUCAUAUCGUAUCGCCAAGCUUGCCUUCCACGCCAAGGAAAGUCCUAUCCAGACACGGGACGGAGUAUUCAAUCUUGUAUCUUCAUAGUCCGGGAGUCCAGCCAAAGGUCAUAGUCCAGCCAUCCGGACACCCCCUAAUCCAGGACUCCCUCAAUGACCCUGGUGAUGUCGAGGGCGAGCGCCCCAGGAAGAAGAUUCUUGCCAAGGUGAUGUGGUAUGCUCCUAUAAUACCACGGUUGAAACGUUUGUUCCAAAACAAAGAGCAUGUGAAGGCGAUGCGGUGGCACAGAGAAGACCGUAAGAAAGACAGAAAGUUGAGAGUACCCGCUGAUGGUUCGCAGUGGAGAAAAAUUGAGAGAAAGUACAGGGAGGAGUUUGCAGGUGACCCAAGGAACGUAUGGUUUGGUCUGACAUUAAUCCUUUUGGGGAGCAGAGCAGCAACCAUAGCACGUGGCCUGUGACUCUAUGUUUGUAUAACCUUCCUCCUUGGUUGUGCAUGAAGCAGAAGUUCAUUAUGAUGCCAGUGCUCAUCCAAGGCCCUAAGCAACCCGGCAACGACAUUGAUGUGUACCUAAGGCCAUUAGUUGAAGAACUAUUACAGCUGUGGAAUGGAACAGGUGUACGUGCGUGGGAUGAGCACGGACAGGAAGAAUUUGACCUAAAGGCAUUGCUGUUCGUGACCAUCAAUGAUUGGCCUGCUAUCAGUAACCUUUCAGGACAGACAAACAAGGGAUACCGCGGAUGCACGCACUGUUUGGAUGAUACUGACAGUAUAUAUUUGAGGAGUUGUAGGAAGAAUGUGUACCUGGGACAUCGUCAAUUUAUUCCGAGCAGGCAUCCCAUAAGAAAGAAAGGCAAGCAUUGGAAAGGUGAGGCGGAUCACCAGACGAAGCCUCGCCACCGUACUGGUGCUGAUGUACAUGAUAUGGUCAAGGAUUUGAAGGUAAUCUUUAGAAAGGGUCCUGGCGGACAACCUGUUCCGAAGGAUGCUGACAGACGCGUGCCCAUGUGGAAGAAGAAAUCUAUAUUUUGGGACCUGCCCUAUUGGAAAGACCUAGAGGUCCGCUCCACAAUCGACGUUAUGCACGUGACGAAGAAUCUUUGCCUGACCCUGCUUGGCUUCUUGGGCGUGUAUGGGAAGACAAAAGAUACACCAGAGGCACAGGAGGACAAGCAACGUAUGCACGGAAAAGACGGCAUACAUAAGGGUCAGGCCAGCUACGCUCUUAUGACGCAACUGCUUCUGGUUGCAUUGAGGGGGCUUCUACCGGAAAACGUUCGAUUAGCCAUUAUGAAGCUAUGUGCAUUCCUCAAUGCCAUCUCUCAGAAGGUAAUCGAUCUAGAAAUCAUACCAAGGUUACAGAAUGAUUUGGUGCAAUGUCUUGUCAGUUUUGAGUUGGUGUUCCCACCAUCCUUCUUCAACAUCAUGACACACGUCCUAAUUCACCUUUGCAAAGAGAUUAACGUUUUGGGUCCUGUAUUUCUACACAAUAUGUUCCCCUUUGAGAGGUUCAUGGGAGUCUUGAAGAAAUAUGUUCAUAACCGUGCUAGGCCAGAAGGAAGCAUCGCGAAGGGCCAUGAAAAUGAGGAGGUCAUUGAGUUUUGUAUUGACUUUAUUCCUGAUCUUAAGCCGAUUGGUGUUCCUGAAUCGCGGCAUAAGGGCAGACUGGAUGGAAAAGGCACGCUAGGAGGGGAUCAAAUAAUAUGUAUGGACGGGCAUUCUCUCACUGAAGCACACUACACAGUUCUACAGAAUUCCGCCUUGGUGGCUCCGUAUAUGGAGGAACACAAGAAUUUUCUACACUCCAAACACCCGGAGAAGUCUGAUGACUGGAUUACACGUGAACAAACGAGGACUUUCGCUGGUUGGUUGCAGAAACGUGCCAUGCACAAUGGCAAUAUUGAAGAUGACCUACACUCGCUGUCCCAGUUACCAUCUUCGAAUAUAAUGACUUUCAAAGGGUACCAGAUAAAUGGGAAUACAUUUUACACGAUCGCCCAAGAUAAGAAGAGCACCAACCAAAACAGUGGUGUCCGCUUUGAUGCAACAACCAACACGGGAAAGGAAACAUAUUAUGGUUACACAGAGGACAAAUGGGAACUUAACUAUGCAGGUGGUUUGAAGGUCCCUUUGUUUCGGUGCAAAUGGGUCAAUAUGACACGAGGCGAGGUAACGGAAGACCCGCAGUAUGGAAUGACAACAGUUGAUUUCAGCAAUCUUGCGUAUGCAGAAGAACAAUUCGUCCUAGCCAAUGAUGUGGUGCAGGUUUUUUAUGUGAAAGACAUGUCUAUCAGGCCGAGAAAAAGAAAAGAUAAGGAAGCGAAUGGAUCAUACGACGAGCCAAAGCGCCACAUAGUUCUUUCAGGGAAAAGAAACAUCGUGGGAGUGGAUGACAAGACAAACAUGUCAGAAGAUUAUGAAAAGUUUGAUGAAAUUGCUCCAUUCGCAGUGAAUAUUGACCUGAGUAUCCAGUUAAAUGAUGAAGAUUUUCCAUGGCUACGGUGCAAAGGGACACACGCGAAGAAAAAGUUUCACACCCAAAGAUCCAGGAUGUGAUCGGCUUCACUAUCAUCACUUUCUUCUGUGUUUCACACCCAGGAGGGAAUCUCUGUAAUAGUUAGGGUAGUUAUGUGUUUUCGCAUUUGAAACGCAAAGAAAUUUUAUGUGCAAACAAAUUCUUUCAUGCAUUUACUAUCUCUUUCGAACUAUCAGGGUUUCGGACGAAAACUCAUCUGUUACAAAGGCAUUUCAUUUUUUAAAUAACCUAAGCAUUACCAAAUUGAAUAUAAUGAUAAAAUACAAUAAUAUUAAUCAUAAGAAAAAAGAAUCACUGAAAAAUCAUUUUUCAAAGUUAAGUUAUUCACAAACUAGUGAUUCACACAAACUAUUCAAAUUUGAAAACUACCGGCACUAACAUAAAGUUUGUAAUUUUUUGUACCUAAAGCAAAAAUAUUCAGAAAGAAACUCUAAAUACAGCAAAAAAACAACUCAAAAAUAAAUAAAACAAAAAUAAAUAAAGCAAAUUUUUUUAAGAAAAUAAAAAAGCCCGCCUACUCGGCCAAAGCGACCUGCAUACGACUAGAAACACAACCUUUUGUUGGGNNNNNNNNNNNNNNNNNNNNNNNNNNNNNNNNNNNNNNNNNNNNNNNNNNNNNNNNNNNNNNNNNNNNNNNNNNNNNNNNNNNNNNNNNNNNNNNNNNNNNNNNNNNNNNNNNNNNNNNNNNNNNNNNNNNNNNNNNNNNNNNNNNNNNNNNNNNNNNNNNNNNNNNNNNNNNNNNNNNNNNNNNNNNNNNNNNNNNNNNNNNNNNNNNNNNNNNNNNNNNNNNNNNNNNNNNNNNNNNNNNNNNNNNNNNNNNNNNNNNNNNNNNNNNNNNNNNNNNNNNNNNNNNNNNNNNNNNNNNNNNNNNNNNNNNNNNNNNNNNNNNNNNNNNNNNNNNNNNNNNNNNNNNNNNNNNNNNNNNNNNNNNNNNNNNNNNNNNNNNNNNNNNNNNNNNNNNNNNNNNNNNNNNNNNNNNNNNNNNNNNNNNNNNNNNNNNNNNNNNNNNNNNNNNNNNNNNNNNNNNNNNNNNNNNNNNNNNNNNNNNNNNNNNNNNNNNNNNNNNNNNNNNNNNNNNNNNNNNNNNNNNNNNNNNNNNNNNNNNNNNNNNNNNNNNNNNNNNNNNNNNNNNNNNNNNNNNNNNNNNNNNNNNNNNNNNNNNNNNNNNNNNNNNNNNNNNNNNNNNNNNNNNNNNNNNNNNNNNNNNNNNNNNNNNNNNNNNNNNNNNNNNNNNNNNNNNNNNNNNNNNNNNNNNNNNNNNNNNNNNNNNNNNNNNNNNNNNNNNNNNNNNNNNNNNNNNNNNNNNNNNNNNNNNNNNNNNNNNNNNNNNNNNNNNNNNNNNNNNNNNNNNNNNNNNNNNNNNNNNNNNNNNNNNNNNNNNNNNNNNNNNNNNNNNNNNNNNNNNNNNNNNNNNNNNNNNNNNNNNNNNNNNNNNNNNNNNNNNNNNNNNNNNNNNNNNNNNNNNNNNNNNNNNNNNNNNNNNNNNNNNNNNNNNNNNNNNNNNNNNNNNNNNNNNNNNNNNNNNNNNNNNNNNNNNNNNNNNNNNNNNNNNNGUCGCCGGCCCGUCCCGUCGUCGCCGCCCCAUCCCGUCGCCCCGUCCCAUCGCCCCAUCGUCGCCGCCCCGUCGUCGCCUCGCCGGUGAGCUCGCCCCAGCCACCAUGUUCACAAACACACACACAUGUACACACUACACACACACAUUAUAGAAUUUUAGUUAUAGAAUUUUUUUUCUAUUUUUUAGUUAUAGAAAUGUUAGAAAUUAUUCUGUUUUGUACUUAUAGAAAUAUUUUUAGAAAUGUUAGUUAUAUAGAAAUGUUAUAAAUUUUUCCUGUUUUUUAGUUAUAGAAAUAUUAGAGAUGUUAUAAUUUUUUCUGUUUUUUAGUUAUAGAAUACUUAUAAAAAUGUUAGCAAUUUUUCUGUUUUAUAGUUAUAGAAAUAUUAGAAAUGUUAGUUAUAUAAUCAGAAAUGUUAGAAAAUUUAGAAUUAGUUUUAGUUAGAUGAAUUAGAUUAAUGUCAAAUUGUUAGAAUUUGCAUAUAGAAUGUUAGAUUAAUGUUACUUUUUGCGGGCAUAUAGUAUUUGUUCUCGACGAUAUGUCUGGCCCGCAUCCUCGCCGUCGACCUGUUCGUGACGAUGUCAUGCUUCAGAGGACCCAUGUCCGGGACUGGGCUCCGCCGGGCUGGCACUGGGAGGUGCUACCUGGAGGGGCGCGCCGCUUGGUGAGGAACCCGGCCUCGGGUCCCAUCGUCGACUCUGAUCUCCUUUGGUGGCGUUCGCGUGGGCCACAUUCGGUGCAGAGGCAGCCGGCCCCGCCGGAGGUGGUGCAUCGCCGUGUCAGGGAGGAAGACGAGCACGUCCAUCGCUACAUGGCUGCUAUGGACGACGUCAGGUUCUCCACUACUUGGUAGGUUCUUUGGGCAGAUGACCGGAGAUAUGAUCCUGUGAUGGUUCCUUCUCUUUGGGUGUCCACCGCCUGCGCCCCAGGAGCCGCGAGUGGCGCCCUAGAUUCUUCUGUAGUACUCGAUCUUUAUUAGGUACCUAGCCAGUGAUGUAUUCGAUAUAUAAUAUUUGAGACAAUGUAUUCAAGAUUAUAUAUAUUAUUCAUGCCGAUGGUGUAUAUUCGAGAUUAUAUAUUAAUGGAGAUGAUGCAUAUAUAUUAUGUACUAUAUGAUUCAGUUUUUCCUUAUUGAUUGCAUCCAUGCAUUGUAAUUUGAAUACUAAAUUGUUCUAUAUUUCUUCUGUAUUAGUUAAGUAAAAGCUAUGGCGGACAAUACCGGCAGAGACAGAGAAGAGGAAUUGUUCGACAUCAUAUGCAGCCCUGGCAGGCUAGAUGAUCUGAAUGAAGCAGAUGAUGGCUCUCAAUAUCUGAACAAUACCGGAGAGGGUGAUGAAAAGAUAUUCGAUCUCGACGACCAAGCUGAUGAAGUCAUGAACUAUGAUUCUGAUUAUGAUGACACAAACAAUGUUUAUGAUGACACAAAGAAUGCUGAUCUUCAAAUAACAAAGACUACCGGCGAGGUAUAUUUAUAUAAGCAGGCAUCUGGUGAUCAUCACAUGUUUUUUUUAUUUUAAGAUAUAUGAAUGAAUCGAUCUUCUUCUUUCAACCCUCUGGAUCGAGCAAAUCUGCUUCUACAGACAGCAGGACAAAGCAAGGCCCGAGCAGAUUGUUGAAGGACGGUGUAAAGUACAACAUCGAAUUCGUCAAACCUAGUGGCGAACCCUUGACGCCUAAGAACAUUGCAAACAAGUGGACUCGUCAGUGCGGAGUCUUGUGAAGGACAAACUCCCAAUCUCCAUUCAAGAAUGGAAAGAGCCAAAGACUAAACGUCCAUGUGUUACUUGGGUCGACGACAGAGCCAAACAAGACCUUUGGGAUUCUCUGAUGGAACAUUUCACCCUACCAGAUUAUUUCACUAAAGCAGAUGUGGACAAAGUGAAGAGCGCUGCUCUUAAGAAGACUGUAUGGGCCAACUACCUUGCUGCAAAAAGGAAGACUCCAGAAUUCACGGGAACACUGGAGAAGCAAAGAGAACACUGGGACGAUUUCGUGAAAUGCAAGGAUUCAGAAAUAUCUAAGGAACGGUCGAUAAAAAACAAGGCCAAAGCCGCAAAAAAGACGCAGUUCCAUAGGCUAGGUCCAGGUGGCUACGCGGUGGGAAUGCCUAAGUGGGAUAAGUCUGAGCAAGAGAUGGAGGGUGCAGGGGUCACUCCGAUUACUAGGAGCUGGCCCCCCAGGUGCAGAACUUGGUUCUAUGUGCAUGGGGGGGCGUUGGACCCGAAGACAGGCCUGGUUUCGAAGAAGGCAAGUCUAAAAGGAGCCGAACAAAAGAUACAUGACGCAAUAGAAGAAGCUCGAGCGGGGGUGUUCACGCCAAACAGAGAGAAUGACGAGCGUAUGCGCGCCCUGGGAAAUCCUGAACACCCGGGAAGAACACGAGGCAUGAGCGUUAUUCCCUGGUAUGAGGGCUUUUCGGACUGGAACGAUGACUACAGGUCCCGUGCAAGAAAGAAGAUGGAGGAGGAGAAGAAGAGGAAGCUGGUGGAGGAGCAGAGGAAGCAGGACGCAGAACGCCUUCAAGGCCUAGAAGCAAGGCAUGCGGACUUGGCACUCAAAUUCCAGCAGCAGCAACAUCAGAAGAUCGACUCACUUAGCUAGGAAAGGGGGUCUCAGCAGUGGUAGCAGCAAGCAGAUGAUCGUCCAUCAUUGGAUAGCACCGUCCCAUCCAUGCCGAGAAGCAGCAUUGGUUCUGCCCCGGGCGACACACUGCUGGAUACAUACCACUCUGUGGAUGACAUCAUAGAGAACACUAACUAUGAGCUACACUCCAAAAUGAAGAACAUAUCCAUGAAGGUGGCGGACAGCGUUGCUUUCACAAUUACCCCUGAAGCAACCUUCCAUUGCAUCCCGAUUCCAGAGGGCUAUGCUCGUGUCAUGGUUGAUGAAGUGGUGGAGCCAUAUUCGAUGCUAGUACUUGACAUUGCUGGAGGUGAAGGCGAGCGCACACUGGGAGAGGCCGUACAUCGUAUCAUCCUAUGGAGAAAGGAUUGCAUCAUCUUUCCAAGUCCACCGACACCGUGUCGUCUGAUGACUCCUCCUUGAAGUCCGCCACCGAGUUAGCAGACUCCCGCUCCUCCAAGUCCACAAACGCGUGAGCCGACUCCUCCUCGAAGUCCGCCACCUCCUCCAAGUCCCCGAACGCUUGAGCAGACUCCUCCUCCUUCAUAUCGGGCACAGCGUCAGGCCACUCCUCCUGCUUCAAGUCCGGCACAGCGUUAGCCACGUCAGCCGUCUCCGCCAUCUCAGCAAUCGCAGAAGAGACACGCCGCAGCUAUGGUGCAUAGCGGUACGAGUCGAGGUAGUACAGGAAGUACAGGCGGAGACAAGCAAUAUAAAUAUGGUCCAAGCCUCGCUCCUCUUCCUCAGAGGCCUUAUGACAUGACCGAGGAGCAAAACGCAGCCAUAGUGCAGGCCCAAGUGGACGCCCAUUUUGGACCGAAACCGGCACCGCCGCCAAAGGAGAAAGUGCCUGAGAAAACAAUUGACCACUUCAUUCGUAUGGCUAGAGCACCAGCUCCCAAGCCUAUUGACUCAGACUAUGAGCGUUGAAUCAGGAAGCUACAUCGAGCACGGCUACAGAAGGAAGCGAGCUCGAGCUUGAGCCAACAAGCAGCUGGCAAAAAAUGCGGGAAAACCGUUCCCCAGCUGGGAGAACAGGCGGCGCAAGCGAUCCCCCCGCUUGUUGUGCCAACAGCUCAUGAGAGGAGUACGCGCGCCAAAUAUUAUUGUGGGCAAACCGUUAGCGUUCCCCAGCAGGGCAAUGUGGUAAUAACGGAGGAGCAUAUAAUGCAGGCUGAAAUGCUCAAGAUCUCUGUUGGACAACUCCUUGAAAUCGAGCCCAUGUCUCCGCUUAGAGAAUCGGAAAUAAAAUGGAAAUAUGUUCGGGGCCAACCUUUGGUCCAUCCAGACAAGGUCAAGGACCUCCCAAUGAGAAUGUAUGAAUUGCAUCAAUGGUACAUGAACAUUACCAAGAUUUCCAAUCGAUAUUCCCUCAUGGUGAAUGUCAAGCAUGAGCAUUAUUACCAUGAGAAAGCUCUGGCCGUUGAGUAUCCAGAACUAUUUCAGUUAUACAAUCAAGACGCACUCUACAAGUCUAUCGUCAGUUGCUAUUGUUUGUAUGCGAUUUCUUUCUGUAAUUUAAGUCUCAAGCUAGUUAUGUAGUGAUAAUUUUGAUCAAUCAUUACAUGUAAUUAUCCUCACUAUAUUCUUUUAUGUGGUAUUAUAUGCAGGAUGAAGAUGUAUGAAAUGAAAAAAUCUGGACACUAUGGCAUUGGGUUCAUUGACCCAAAUACCAUUAAUGAGGACAUAUGGAAGCUUCCAUUUUAUCAAGCAGGUGUAGAGGAAAGCAUGCUAGAGUUCUUGAAGUGCCUCAAUGUUGGAAAUAUGCCCUAGAGGCAAUAAUAAAAGGAUUAUUCUUAUAUUUCCUUGUUCAUGAUAAUUGUCUUUUAUUCAUGCUAUAAUUGUAUUAUCCGAAAAUCGUAAUACACGUGUGAAUACAUAGACCAUAAUAUGUCCCUAGUGAGCCUCUAGUUGACUAGCCUGUUGAUCAACAGAUAGUCAUGGUUUCCUGACUAUGGACAUUGGAUGUCAUUGAUAACGGGAUCACAUCAUUAGGAGAAUGAUGUGAUGGACAAGACCCAAUCCUAAGCAUAGCACAAGAUCGUGUAGUUCGUUUGCUAGAGCUUUUCCAAUGUCAAGUAUCUUUUCCUUAGACCAUGAGAUCGUGUAACUCCCGGAUACCGUAGGAGUGCUUUGGGUGUACCAAAUGUCACAACGUAACUGGGUGACUAUAAUGGUAUCCUACGGGUAUCUCCAAAAGUGUCUGUUGGGUUGACACGGAUCGAGACUGGGAUUUGCCACUCCGUAUGAUGGAGAGGUAUCUCUGGGCCCACUCGGUAAUGCAUUAUCAUAAUGAGCUCAAAGUGACCAAGUGUCUGGUCACGGGAUCAUGCAUUACGGUAUGAGUAAAGUGACUUGCUGGUAACGAGAUUGAACGAGGUAUUGGGAUACCGACGAUCGAAUCUCGGGCAAGUAACAUACCGAUUGACAAAGGGAAUUGUAUACGGGGUUGCUUGAAUCCUCGACAUCAUGGUUCAUCCGAUGAGAUCAUCGAGGAGCAUGUGGGAGCCAACAUAGGUAUCCAGAUCCCGCUGUUGGUUAUUGACCGGAGAGUCGUCUUGGUCAUGUCUACGUGUCUCCCGAAACCGUAGGGUCUACACACUUAAGGUUCGGUGACGCUAGGGUUGUAGAGAUAUGAGUAUGCAGUACACCGAAAGUUGUUCGGAGUCCCGGAUGAGACCCCGGACGUCACGAGGAGUUCCGGAAUGGUCCGUCGGUAAAGAAUUAUAUAUGGGAAGUCGAGUUUCGGCCAUCGGCAAUGUUUCGGGGGUCACCGGUAUUGUACCGGGACCACCAGAAGGGUCCCGGGGGUCCACCGGGUGGGGCCACCCAUCCCGGAGGGCCCCAUGGGCUGAAGUGGGAGGGGAACCAGCCCCUGGUGGGCUGGUGCGCCCCCCUUGGGGCCCCCCUGCGCUUAGGGUUGGGAACCCUAGGGGAGGGGGCGCCUCCACUUGCCUUGGGGGGCAAGGCACCCCCCUUGGCCGCCGCCCCUUAGGAGAUCCCCUCUCCUAGGGCCGGCGCCCCCUUGGGACCCUAUAUAUAGAGAGGGGGAGGGAGGGCAGCAGCAGCCUUGCACUUGGCGCCUCCCUUCCCCCUUGCUACACCUCUCCCUCCCGCAGGCGCUUGGCGAAGCCCUGCCGGGAUCCCUGCUGCAUCCACCACCACGCCGUCGUGCUGCUGGAUCUUCAUCAACCUCUCCUUCCCCCUUGCUGGAUCAAGAAGGAGGAUACAUCACGCUGACCGUACGUGUGUUAAACGCGGGGGUGCCGUCCAUUCGGCGCUAGGAUCUCCAGUGAUUUGGAUCACGACGAGUACGACUCCCUCAACCCCGUUCUCUUGAACGCUUCCGCUCGAUCUACAAGGGUAUGUAGAUGCACUCCUCUCUCCCGUUGCUAGAUGAACUCAUAGAUUGAUCUUGGUGAAACCGUAGGAAAUUUUUUGUUUUCUGCAACGUUCCCCAACAGUGGCAUCAUGAGCUAGGUCUAUGCGUAGUUCUCUUUGCGCGAGUAGAACACAAAUUUGUUGUGGGCGUAGAUGUUGUCAACUUUCUUGCCACUACUAGUCUUAUUUUUCUUCAGUGGUAUUGUGGGAUGAAGCGGCCCGGACCGACCUUACACGUACGCUUACGUGAGACAGGUUCCACCGACUGACAUGCACUAGAUGCAUAAGGUUGCAGCGGGUGUCUGUCUCUCCCACUUUAGUUGGAGCGGAUUCGAUGAAAAGGGUCCUUAUGAAGGGUAAAUAGAAGUUGAUAAAUCACGUUGUGGCUUUUUCGUAGGUAAGAAAACGUUCUUGCUAGAACCCUAUUACAACCACGUAAAAGAUGCAACAACAAUUAGAGGACGUCUAACUUGGUUUUGCAGCAAUUGCUUUGUGAUGUGAUAUGGCCAAAAGUUGGGAUGAAUGAUGAAUGAUAUAUUGUGAUGUAUGAGAUUAUGUUCUUGUAAUAGGAAUCACGACUUGCAUGUCGAUGAGUAUGACAACCGGCAGGAGCCAUAGGAGUUGUCUUAAUUAUUGUAUGACCUGCGUGUCAAUGAUUUAACGCCAUGUAAUUACUUUACUUUAUUGCUAAACCGUUAGCUAUAGUAGUAGAAGUAAUAGUUGGCGAGCAACUUCAUGGAGGCACAAUGAUGGAGAUCGUGAUGAUGGAGAUCAUGGUGUCAUGUCGGUGAAGAAGAUGAUCAUGGAGCCCCGAAGAUGGAGAUCAAAGGAGCUAUAUGAUAUUGGCCAUAUCAUAUCACUAUUAUUUGAUUGCAUGUGAUGUUUAUCAUGUUUUUGCAUCUUGUUUACUUAGAACGACGGUAGUAAAUAAGAUGAUCCCUCAUAAUAAUUUCAAGAAAGUGUUCCCCCUAACAGUGCGCCGUUGCGACAGUUCGUUGUUUCGAAGCACCACGUGAUGAUCGGGUGUGAUAGAUUCUAACGUUCACAUACAACGGAUGUAAGACAGAUUUACACAUGAAAAACACUUAGGUUAACUUGACGAGCCUAGCAUGUACAGACAUGGCCUCGGAACACAAGAGACCGAAAGGUCGAACAUGAGUCGUAUGAAAGAUACGAUCAACAUGGAGAUGUUCACCGAUGAUGACUAGUCCGUCUCGCGUGAUGAUUGGACACGGCCUAGUUGAUUCGGAUCAUGUAACACUUAAAUGACUAGAGGGAUGUCUAAUCUGAGUGGGAGUUCAUUAAAUAAUUUGAUUAGAUGAACUUAAUUAUCAUGAACUUAGUCUAAAAUCUUUGCAAAAAUGUCUUGUAGAUCAAAUGGCCAACGCUCAUGUCAACAUGAACUUCAACGCGUUAUUAGAGAAAACCAAGCUGAAAGAUGAUGGCAGCAACUAUACGGACUGGGUCCGGAACCUGAGGAUCAUCCUCAUAGCUGCCAAGAAAGCAUAUGUCCUAGAAGGACCGCUAGGUGAAGCACCCAUCCCAGAGAACCAAGACGUUAUGAAUGCUUGGCAGUCACGUGCUGAUGAUUACUCCCUCGUUCAGUGCGGCAUGCUUUACAGCUUAGAACCGGGGCUCCAAAAGCGUUUUGAGCAACACGGAGCAUAUGAUAUGUUCGAGGAUCUAAAAAUGGUUUUCCAAGCUCACGCCCGGGUCGAGAGAUAUGAAGUCUCCGGCAAGUUCUAUAGUUGUAAGAUGGAGGAAAACAGUUCUGUCAGUGAGCAUAUACUCAAAAUGUCUAGGUUGCACUACCGCCUGUCCCAGCUGGACAUUAACCUCCCGGACGAGGCGGUCAUUGACAGAAUCCUUCAGUCACUCCCACCGAGCUACAAGAGCUUUGUGAUGAACUACAAUAUGCAGGGGAUGGUGAAAACUAUUCCUGAAAUAUUUUCAAUGCUAAAGUCAGCAGAGGUAGAAAUCAAAAAGGAACAUCAAGUGUUGAUGGUCAAUAAAACCACCAAGUUCAAGAAAGGCAAGGGUAAGAAGAACUUCAAGAAGGACGGCAAGGAUGUUGCCGCGCCCGGUAAGCCAGUUGCCGGGAAGAAGCCAAAGAAUGGACCCAAGCCUGAGACUGAGUGCUUUUAUUGCAAAGGGAAGGGUCACUGGAAGCGGAACUACCCCAAAUACUUAGCGGACAAGAAGGCCGGCAACACUAAAGGUAUAUGUGAUAUACAUGUAAUUGCUGUGUACCUUACGAGUGCUCGUAGUAGCUCCUGGGUAUUUGAUACCGGUGCCGUUGCUCAUAUUUGUAACUCAAAGUAGGAGCUGCGGAAUAAGCGGAGACUGGCGAAGGACGAGGUGACGAUGUGCGUCGAGAAUGGUUCCUAGGUUGAUGUGAUUGCCGUCGGCACGCUACCUCUACAUUUACCCACGGGAUUAGUUUUAAACCUCAAUAAUUGUUAUUUAGUGCCAGCUUUGAGCAUGAACAUUGUAUCUAGAUCUCAUUUAAUGCGAGAUGGCUACUCAUUUAAAAUCGAGAAUAAUGGUUGUUCUAUUUAUAUGAGAGAUAUGUUUUAUGGUCAUGCCCCGCUAGUCAAUGGUUUAUUCUUAGUGAAUCUCGAACGUAAUGAUACACAUAUUCAUAAUGUGAAUACCAAAAGAUGUAAGGUUGAUAACGAUAGUCCCACGUACUUGUGGCACUGCCGCCUUGGUCACAUUGGUGUCAAGCGUAUGAAGAAGCUCCAUGCUGAUGGGCUUUUAGAGUCUCUCGAUUAUGAAUCAUUUGACACAUGCGAACCAUGCCUCAUGGGCAAAAUGACCAAGACUCCUUUCUCCGGAACAAUGGAGCGAGCAACCAACUUAUUGGAAAUCAUACAUACUGAUGUGUGCAGUCCAAUGAGCGUCGAGGCUCGUGGAGGAUAUCAUUAUGUUCUCACUCUCACUGAUGACUUAAGUAGAUAUGGGUAUGUCUACUUGAUGAAACACAAGUGUGAGACCUUUGAAAAGUUCAAGGAAUUUUAGAAUGAGGUAGAGAAUCAACGUGACCGAAAGAUAAAGUUCUUACGAUCAGAUUGUGGAGGAGAAUAAUUAAGUCACGAAUUUGGUACGCACUUAGGAAAUGUGGAAUCGUUUCACAACUCAUGCCCCCUGGAACACCUCAUCGUAACAGUGUGUCCGAACGUCGUAAUCGCACUCUAUUGGAUAUGGUGCGAUCUAUGAUGUCUCUUACCGAUUUACCGCUAUCAUUUUGGGGAUACGCUCUAGAGACAGCUACAUUCACUUUAAAUAGGGCUCCUUCUAAAUCCGUUGAGACGACACCAUAUGAAUUAUGGUUCGGGAAGAAACCUAAGCUAUCGUUUCUAAAAGUUUGGGGAUGCGAUACUUAUGUCAAGAAACUUCAACCUGAAAAGCUCGAACCCAAGUCAAAAAAAUGCAUCUUCAUAGGAUACCCUAAGGAAACCAUUGGGUAUACCUUCGACCUUAGAUCCUAAGGCAAGAUCUUUGUUGCCAAGAACGGAUCCUUUCUGGAAAAAGAGUUUCUCUCAAAAGGAGUAAGUGGGAGGAAAGUAGAACUCGAUGAAGUACUACCUCUUGAACCGGAAAGUAGUGCAGCUCAGGAAAAUGUUCCUGUGGUGCCUACACCGACUGGAGAGGAAAUUAAUGAUGAUGAUCAAGGUACUUCGGAUCAAGUUGCUAUUGAACUUCGUAGGUCCACAAGGACACGUUCCACGCCGGAGUGGUAUGGCAACCCUGUCCUGGAAAUCAUGUUGUUAGACAACAGUGAACCUUCAAACUAUGAAGAAGCGAUGGCGGGCCCAGAUUCCAACAAAUGUCUUGAAGCCAUGCAAUCCGAGAUAGAAUCCAGGUAUGAAAACAAAGUAUGGACUUUGACAGACUUGCCCGAUGAUCGGCGAGCGAUAGAAAACAAAUGGAUCUUUAAGAAGAAGACUGACGCGGAUGGUAAUGUUACCAUCUAUAAAGCUCGACUUGUCGCUAAGGGUUAUCGGCAAGUUCAAGGGGUUCACUACGAUGAGACUUUCUCUCCCGUAGCAAAGCUGAAGUCCGUCCGAAUCAUGUUAGCAAUUGCCGCAUGCUAUGAUUAUGAGAUAUGGCAGAUGGACGUCAAAACGGCAUUCCUUAAUGGCUAUCUUAAGGAAGAACUAUAUAUGAUGCAGCCGGAAGGUUUUGUCGACCCUAAGAAUGCAAGCAAGGUAUGCAAGCUCCAGCGAUCCAUUUAUGGACUGGUGCAAGCAUCUCGGAGUUGGAACAUUCGCUUUGAUGGGAUGAUCAAAGCGUUUGGGUUUAUGCAGACUUAUGGAGAAGCCUGCGUUUACAAGAAAGUGAGUGGGAGCUCUGUAGCAUUUCUCAUAUUAUAUGUAGAUGACAUACUUCUGAUGGGAAAUGAUAUAGAACUUUUGGACAGCAUUAAGGCCUACUUGAAUAAGUGUUUUUCAAUGAAGGACCUUGGAGAAGCUGCUUACAUAUUAGGCAUCAAGAUCUAUAGGGAUAGAUCAAGACACCUCAUAGGUCUUUCACAAAGCACAUACCUUGAUAAGAUAUUGAAGAAGUUCAAUAUGGAUCAGUCCAAGAAAGGGUUCUUGCCUGUAUUGCAAGGUGUGAGAUUGAGCUCGGCUCAAUGCCCGACCACGGUAGAAGAUAAAGAAGAGAUGAGUGUCAUCCCCUAUGCCUCAGCCAUAGGAUCUAUUAUGUAUGCCAUGCUGUCUACCAGACCUAAUGUAAACCUUGCCGUAAGUUUGGUAGGAAGGUACCAAAGUAAUCCCGGCAAGGAACACUGGACAGCGGUCAAGAAUAUCCUGAAGUACCUGAAAAGGUCAAGGGACAUGUUUAUCGUCUAUGGAGGUGACGAAGAGCUCGUCGUAAAGGGUUACAUCGACGCUAGCUUCGACACAGAUCUGGAUGACUCUAAGUCACAAACCGGAUACGUGUAUAUGUUGAAUCGUGGAGCAGUAAGCUGGUGCAGUUGCAAGCAGAGCAUCGUGGCGGGAUCUACAUGUGAAGUGGAGUACAUGGCAGCCUCGGAGGCAACGCAUGAAGCAAUAUGGAUGAAGGAGUUCAUCACCAACCUAGGAGUCAUACCCAAUGCGUCGGGGCCGAUCACUCUCUUCUGUGACAACACUGGAGCUAUUGCCCUUGCCAAGGAGCCCAGGUUUCACAAGAAGACCAGGCACAUCAAGCGUCGUUUCAACUCCAUCCGUGAAAAUGUUCAAGAUGGAGAGAUAGAUAUUUGCAAAGUACAUACGGAUCUGAAUGUCGUAGAUCCGUUGACUAAACAUCUUCCACGAGCAAAACAUGAUCAACACCAGAACUCUAUGGGUGUUCGAUUCAUCACAAUGUAACUAGAUUAUUGACUCUAGUGCAAGUGGGAGACUGUUGGAAAUAUGCCCUAGAGGCAAUAAUAAAAGGAUUAUUAUUAUAUUUCCUUGUUCAUGAUAAUUGUCUUUUAUUCAUGCUAUAAUUGUAUUAUCCGGAAAUUGUAAUACACGUGUGAAUACAUAGACCAUAAUAUGUCCCUAGUGAGCCUCUAGUUGACUAGCCCGUUGAUCAACAAAUAGUCAUGGUUUCUUGACUAUGGACAUUGGAUGUCAUUGAUAACGGGAUCACAUCAUUAGCAGAAUGAUGUGAUGGACAAGACCCAAUCCUAAGCAUAGCACAAGAUCGUGUAGUUCGUUUGCUAGAGCUUUUCCAAUGUCAAGUAUCUUUUCCUUAGACCAUGAGAUCGUGUAACUCCCGGAUACCGUAAGAGUGCUUUGGGUGUACCAAACGUCACAACGUAACUGGGUGACUAUAAAGGUAUACUACGGGUAUCUCUGAAAGUGUCUUUUGGGUUGACACGGAUCAAGACUGGGAUUUGUCACUCCGUAUGACGGAGAGGUAUCUCUGGGCCCACUCGGUAAUGCAUCAUCAUAAUGAGCUCAAAGUGACCAAGUGUCUGGUCACGGGAUCAUGCAUUACGGUACAAGUAAAGUGACUUGCCGGUAACGAGAUUGAACGAGGUAUUGGGAUACCGACGAUCGAAUCUCGGGCAAGUAACAUACCGAUUGACAAAGGGAACUGUAUACGGGGUUGCUUGAAUCCUUGACAUCGUGGUUCAUCCGAUGAGAUCAUCGAGGAGCAUGUGGGAGCCAACAUGGGUAUCCAGAUCCCGCUGUUGGUUAUUGACCGGAGAGCCGUCUCGGUCAUGUCUACGUGUCUCCCGAACCCGUAGGGUCUACACACUUAAGGUUCGGUGAUGCUAGGGUUGUAUAGAUAGUAGUAUGCGGUAAACGAAAAGUUGUUAGGAGUCCCGGAUGAGAUCCCGGAUGUCACGAGGAGUUCUGGAAUGGUCCGGAGGUAAAGAAUUAUAUAUGGUAAGUCGAGUUUCGGCCAUCGGGAAAGUUUCGAGGGUCACCGGUAUUGUAUCGGGACCACUGGAAGGGUCCCGGGGGUCCACCGGGUGGGGCCACCCAUCCCGGAGGGCCCCAUGGGCUGAAGUGGGAGGGGAACCAGCCCCUGGCGGGCUGGUGCGCCCCCCUUUGGGCCCCCCCUGCGCCUAGGGUUGGGAACCCUAGGGGAGGGGGCACCUCCACUUGCCUUGGGGGGCAAGGCACCCCCCUUGGCCGCCACCCCCCUAGGAGAUCCCAUCUCCUAGGGCCGGCGCCCCCCUGGGGACCCUAUAUAUGGAGAGGGGAAGGGAGGGCAGCCGCACCCUUGGACUUGGCGCCUCCCUUCCCCCUUGCUACACCUCUCCCUCCCGCAGACGCUUGGCGAAGCCCUGCCGGGAUCCCUACUGCAUCCACCACCAUGCCGACAUGCUGCUAGAUCUUCAUCAACCUCUCCUUCCCCCUUGCUGGAUUAAGGAGGAGAAGUCACGCUGACCGUACGUGUGUUGAACGCGAAGGUGCCGUCCGUUCGGCGCUAGGAUCUCCGGUGAUUUGGAUCACGAUGAGUACGACUCCCUCAACCCCGUUCUCUUGAACGCUUCUGCUCGAUCUACAAGGGUAUGUAGAUGCACUCCUCUCUCUCGUUGCUAGAUGAACUCAUAGAUUGAUCUUUGAGAAACCGUAGGAAAUUUUUUGUUUUCUGCAACGUUCCCCAACACUCAAUACCAAUGAAGAUAUACUACCUCCUUACAACUUCCCGUGAGUCACACUGUCUUGUACUACAAAUUCUGUUUUUGCUUACUAGCUAGCUAGAUGUUAAUAAUUAAGUGUAUACGGUUUACGGUAGUUGAUUAAUUUUAUGCACAUACCCGCUUAAAUAAGACAUGCAAACGUGUGCGCAUGCAGUUGGCACUGGGUCUUGUUAGACAUUAAAUUUGAGGAAGGAAAAGUUGAAUUACUGGACUCACUAACUAAAGAAGAUACAGACUUCACCAUCGUGAGGGGGAUAGUCAACAGGUAAUUUCAAUCAUUAUUAACUAUAUCUCGACCUAUUAUUAGUUGUCAUUUCCUGACAUGAACAAUUUAAUAACCCCUUUAUCAAUUUUCUUUGCCGGUGGGCAGGGCAUGGGCAAAGUUCAUCAAGGUGACUCCAGGCAACUGGGCAAAAAAGUUGUUUUGGCAUCGACCAAAGGUAAGUAAUUAAGUAGUACUAGCUAGCUACCAUCUCUUUAAUUCUUGUUUCAAUAUCAUUAAUUAAUUAUCAUGCUUGAUUAAUCAUUAUAUGAUUCAAUUCCAUUCUCGUAAAGGCCCUGAAGUAGGCACCGGGGAUAAUCUGUGUGCAUUCUACGUUUGCGAGAACAUUCGCAUGAUGGCGUCCGAAAGGAGCAGAUCUGAUAGACAGGACUGGGUACGUUUGUCAAAACACUAUUCACACUAUUAUCAAUAUCUACUCACACAAUUAACACACAUGCAUAUUGAUCUCCUUCUUAACAGUUCAGAGAGGUGCGGGAUAAGCUCCUACCAUCGGACCGCAUACUAGCACUUCAAGAGAAAAUAGCCGGAUUUUUGCUCGACCAGGUCAUAGAUCCCAAAGGAGAAUACUAUUACCCGCUACCGCCCCCAUGAACCACUUGUCAUCGUGCUCCGGAGGCACAAGGCAACAUAUGUAGGAGAAAUUGUAUAUGUAUAUACAUGUGUAUGUGUGAAUAAUUAAUGGUGUUGGUUGUGAGACAUUCGACGAUAUAUAUAUACAUGUGUGGUUCUACGUACGAGAAAAUCUAUUUAUAUAUAUGCGUAACGUGUACAAUUUGUAGUAUCAUGAAAUACCAGCAAACAAAAAAAAUUGAAUGGAAAAUAAAGCCAAAGCCCCCCCCCAACAUUUAGUACCGGUUGGUGUUACCAACCGGUACUAAUGUCCUAUGCGCACACGGAUCUGGCUCGUGCCACGUGGUGUCACUUUAGCGCCGGUUCGUGACGAACCGGUACUAAAGGGGGGGGGGGCUUUAGUCCCCACUCCUUAGUGCCGGUUGGCAAACCGGCACUAAAGGCCGUUACAAACCGGCACUAAAGGCCAGUUCUGCACUAGUGUAGGUCUCCACCACAGGAGCGCCCCCCUUUUAUACCCCCACGACGCAAAAUGGCAGGAAUGCCCUGGUGGGGGCAUGGUAUUUACAUUCUAUUACCAUUGGAAUUUUAUCUGACAGCCCAGGACGAUCGGGUAAAUAUCAGACGGCCCACGGCGAUCUAGCCCUGAGAUUCGACGACCUGUAUCGCGACAAGAUUUUGAUCCGAUGGUCCACAAUCCAAACACACGGGGAGGCUUUUUUUUGCUUUGGACUCUAACGAUGGGACUAGGUAGGAAGUGCGGCUUGCAUAGCUGCCGGGUAUAGUCGUGUUCAAUCCGUUUAUACAACUACUGGAGCAUUUCAAGUAUAAAUAUUCGAACACAAAAAAGUUCAUAUAGAGAUGGUACUCCUACAAGGAAGAGCUGUCAUGACAUGCAGGUAAUAGACAUUGAAAAAACCGAUCAGGAGCAAGAGCCUAUGCACCAGCUCAGAACACAUAAAAAUGGCGAUAGAUGAUCACCAUAAUGGACAUGGGAGUGAUAGGACAGAGAGGCGUCAUCAACAUUUCAGGCAGACAGGGGGCAAAACUCUUCCAACACGGUCAUGUAUGCUCGCCUUUGAGCAACGUCAUACCCAUCUAUGCAUCCUGGAUAUUGGGGAUGAUAAAGCAAUUAGAUGUGACAUUCAAAAGCAUAUCCACAGGUGAUAUUGAAGUUUGGGUAGGAUGUGCGGCCUGCCGCACCCGAACUUCAUUCUGUCGUAUCCUACCCGGUAAAUAAAAUAAUAUGUUACACAUGAUUAAGGACACAAAUUUGGAACUGGAUGGAGGGUAACACAACCAAAUUAACUAUUUUUUUUCAAAAGUGAGGUGAAUUCUGAAAAGUUAGUUCAUUUAGUUGAACUAAGUAGGGUCCGAGGGUACCCCAGCGGUUCCAAAUGUGCAUCCCUACCCAUAAUGCAAAGGUCCAAAGCAUGAAGAUUCAUUACACGCCAUUGAUACAUUUUAUAUACAUGUGUACCAAUAGCAUGAUACCAAAAGUAUUGAGGUUCAGUACAACAGUAAAAUGACACCCAUAGUGUUGGUUUAGGAUAUUUUAUUUACAAUGUUUUUGCAGAACAUAGCAGUAAACUAUAUAGUAGACUAUAAGAUAGAUAUCUAUUUAGAGAUGCCUGCCAUCCGAUUUACUUGCGUGUUGUGAUAUUUGUUUCUAGAUUAUAGCUUGUCGUAUGAGCCAAUUAUGGUAGACCUAGAAAGCAUAGAGCAUAAAUAAAUUAGAUGACGAAAGAGUCCUCAUCAGCACAACACAGAAACUAAUCCAUAUAAUUAAAUAACCAGAGUCCAAUACAUUUUAAAGUUUGUUCAAGUAGAGUCCAAUGAUGUGAAACCUAUAUUUUUUCAGCCAAAAGAUAGCUCAACUAAGUUUGUAGCUUUCAAUAACCAAUGGCUACACCCAAUCAUUAUCAACAUCAUGUGACAUUUGUUUAUCCUCCUGAUUGAUUACUCAAGUAACUACUAUUUUAUAAGAAUUCUUUUUAUUUUAAAGGAUGAAACUACAUGGAAGGCAAAACAGAAAACAUGGAAUGCUUUUCCAAAGUAGCCAACUUCAUUUUAAAAUCUAAGUUGAUUAGUUAUCUACAUAUCACUCAAGGGAAAAGAUAUUAUUUUCCACAAGUAAAAGGGUGCCUACCACAGAAAGCACCAACUGUAGGUAAUGCACUUUCACUGCCACACACACACACACACACACACAGAGGUACCUAACCUAGAUGAAGUGGGAUCAGGCAGAACACAAUGAAGCAGCAAGGUCCCGCACCACUGUAAGCAUGACAAAUUCCAACAGCUUCUGAUCAGAAGAGAGAUGGGGUCAUGCCCCUUUUCCUCGAAAGACAACAAUAAAACAUCAACGUGAAUCACUGCAUGCAUAAGGAAUUCAUACAAUUUCUGCUCAGAACGAGAAAAGAUAGUGCACUCAAAAGAUUUCUGAUUAGAAGCAGGAAAGAUACUGACAUCCCCAUAUAUGAUAAUACUAUCAGAAUGUUUUAUACAAUGAAGAACAUACCAACUCCUAAUAAAUAUCUAGCACAUAUCCAAAUGAAACUCCAAAUGAAAUAUGUGAGUAUAUGAAAGAAAAUACAUUUACACUGAUAAGAAAGAAAAAGAAUAUCUGGGGAAAAAGCAAGACUACAGCAGGUUCAAAGAAAUAAGUAGGACGUGCUUCAAUACUUGGAUACCUUGUUUCUAUACCACGACAUCCAAAGAAUAAUAUUAAUUAAAUGACACUUCUGAAAAGAGCUGACAUUCUCGAAUGGUAUUUAUUUGCAUCAAGUUGAUACUUAUUGUGUUUUUUCAUUCUAUUAGAAUCUUGUAAAAAGAUCGCUCCAUAAGAAUAUCAAUAUCAGGCAAUCCUCACCAUAACACACAAAAAAAUGCCAGAGAAGAAAAGGGAUAAACUCUGAAUACAAACAUACGCCAAAAUGUGAAGUCACCCAUUGAAGUGGCACCAAAGAACCUACUUGCAGGAUGUGCCUAUACUUAUACAAUUUCAUCCCGAUCACAAGGAGAGGUUCACCAUGAUGAUGAAGAGAUAAGGGGCGAAGGAUAUUGUUUCUAUUAAACCUAGCAUGCACAUCUAAAUAUUGCAGGAGUCAUAGGUUGAAAACAAUAGAAAGCUAACUAAACUCAUUUGUACCCUCAUGCUUACACAAAUUGACAAAUAAUACCAUACUUCAAAGGCAUAGCGGCAGGCAACUGUAGCAACAUAGGGCUGCCUAUUUGUGAAGAGAAAAAUUGGUAGCAUAGCUUUACCAUCAACCAGUUGCACUUGUAAGGCACAAACAAAUAGAUCACGUUACAGUAGAUAAGAGGUGAGAAACAACCAAGUGCCAAAUUAAAACAAUGUAGUAGCUCUGUGCCAAAUCAAAUAAGCAAUUUCUUAGAAAAUAAAGUGAACUCAGCCAAGCCUAUUAAAGAAAUUAGAACUGCAGAUCAUAAAAUUUAAAUGUUGCCUGUGUAUUUCAUUCAGAUAGCAAAACACUGGGUGAGUAAUUUUGUGCUAGCAAAAUGACAUUAAUAGCAACUAUUUAAGGGAGACAUACCAAAUUCAAUCAGCAUUUAUUAUCAAUACACUAAAAAAGAGCAAGAACAUAAAACUAAGUUGGAGAAUGAGCUCACUGGCUAGAGGUUGUGCUUGUGAAAGAACUCCACACGCCAUGGUCACGACAUGGCCGCUGCAAUUGAGUAUAUGAAGUGGAUAGAUUCUGCGCCAGAAAGAAAUAUAGAUUUUUAGAAAUAUAGAUUUUCAAAUGAUCAACAUAUGCAUCAAGACACAUCCGACUUCAAUAGUUCUAGUCAUGGCAGUACUUUGUACGCAUGAUUCGAUGUUUCACAGCUCAAACCAAAUUAGCAAUUUCUUUGAUUCAGUAUGCGCGUGAUUUACUAAUGUUUCAGUAUUUCAGAGUGUGCCUCAUGCCUCUUACUUUAUGCCUGAAAGAGCAAUAGAGGCACGCGACGGGAAGACGACUUUAUGCGCUAAUGAUUUUCUUAUCAACUUGUUUUGCAGAUAAAUGCACAACUUUGCUUGAUGGUGUGGGACAGGGAAGGAGCAACGGCGGUGAUUUUCUUAUCAACUUGUUUUCACAACUAAUUCAGCAGCAACCAAUGUGAAAAGCUCUUUUUCUAUCUCCAGGUUUCACGAUAAAUGCUGUCUACAAAACCUACUACCCUUUUGUACAUAAAGAAUCAUUGCUAGACAAUAACGUUGUGAAAACUAUAUCUCAAUGCCACUCAUACUCAAAUUAUACUACGAACUCCAUCCUUGGAGCCCCUAAUUAACAAUCCAAGAAGCAACAUGUUNNNNNNNNNNNNNNNNNNNNNNNNNNNNNNNNNNNNNNNNNNNNNNNNNNNNNNNNNNNNNNNNNNNNNNNNNNNNNNNNNNNNNNNNNNNNNNNNNNNNNNNNNNNNNNNNNNNNNNNNNNNNNNNNNNNNNNGUACAAACCAUGGUGUUAGGCUCGAACGAGUGCUCCUCAUCAAGGAUGAGGGCCACAGUCCUCGUAGCAGUAGGGGUGGACGAACUCGGGUCUGCCCACCUUCUCUAUAUCCAUGUCCAGCUCCUCCAUCCCCUCCCUAUCUGCACCCGCCAUCAAGAUGAGAGAAACAAUGCAAGAUUUGGAGCCAUGGGCGUCUUGAUCAUUCAAAUAGAGCAAAAUCAAGCAUGUUCAAGUCUUAUGAAAUUGAGCAACCACUCAUGUACUAAUACCAAAGAACAAACAGAAGUGUAGCUUCAAGUACGAAUAUCUAUCCAAAGGAGGUGUAGUGUUGUGCUGCUUUUAAUAUUGCAUCAAGCAUAGUAGUGCAGCGGGACUAUUCGGUUCAACAUGGUUAUAGUAGCUGAAACUUAGUGGUUCAGUUAACCACUUUGAGCACUAACUGAAGUAGGGAGCAUAUCAAUAGUAG
rnacentral:lncRNA from 1 species